rnacentral:tRNA from 1 species
GCCCCUGUAGCUCAGCAUGGAUAGAGCACCGGCCUCCGGAGCCGGGUGUCGCGCGUUCAAGUCGCGCCAGGGGCGCCA